rnacentral:lncRNA from 1 species
GGCAACUCUUCAAGCCUACUCUCUAUAAUUUAUUGGAAUAUGUUGAUCAUAAUCUCUACUACCUCCAUAUUGCCUCCACUCAUUACACGCAUUCUUAUUCGCGCCCAAAUGUUCUCAGAAAUUGACACUCUGCGCAAUCAUCUCCUCCUAUCUCAAUCCCUCAAAAUCCCACACGUUUCUUUAUAUUGCAUCGUCAAAAUGUUAGAAAAGUCUGGUUAAAUUGACAAAGUCAUGUUUAAUUUUCAAUCUCUUCGAUCCCAUUUCUGGUACCCCCCUCCCCCGGCGCCCCAUAUCCCUGUACAAUCUUCUUAUUGAAACUUCUCUUACACAAAAUUAUUCAGAUCAUAUGUCGUGGUUGUAUAAAGACAUGAUUUUUCUGCGGUGAAGCCAGAAACUUACACUUUCGAUCUUUUGAUAAGUGGGCUGUUUGAUUCGGUAGAAUAGGUGAUGCCCGAAAAUUGUUCGAUGAAAUGCCUGACAAAGGUUGUGAACCUAAUGAGUUCAGUUUUGGGAUUUUGAUUCGUGGGUAUCGCAGACAUUGACUUUUUUCAUUUUUUUUUUUUUUUUGGGUGAAGGAUUGGAGCUUCUGCAACUUUGUGACACUGCAAAGGUUUUAGAAUCCUCGCGAAUUUUUGGGGAUAUGCAAAUUGAUGAGGAGUUAGGAUUGCCGAAGCCUAAUGUCAUGACAUAUAAAUUGAUGUUGGAAGGUUUUUGCAGGGAGGGAAUACUGGAGGAAGCAAAGACUUUAUUUGAGUCUAUGGAAAGAGAUGGUCUUUUUCCAAAUGUGGAGAGCUAUAAUAUAUGGCUAUUGGCUUUUGGUGAAAAAAUGGGAAGGAAAAAACUUCAUUCAAUCGCGAUGAAUUACAUGCCUUGAGUAUAAAUAGACUGCCAACUAACUAUCUAACCAUACAACUAAUACGAAGAUUACACGAGGCUAACCCUCACUAACUAACUGAAGUCCUUAACUAAUUUGUUUACAGCCCGAUGAGCUGACCUAGGCUAGGGAUUUCUUCUGUUACUUUUGGAGGUUCAAACUAUCCUUGAAGAGAUGAUUUACCAUGGUUUGGAGCCAAAUUAAUGCUCAUAAAAAACUUUGAUUGCUGGGCUCUACAAGAAUGAUAUGCUUGCUGAUGCUAGAGCAGUUGUAGGUUUGAUGAUUAUGAGCAAAAUUUCCCUAGAUGCAGUCACUUAUAGCACUCUGCUUCAUGUACCUAGCAGAAAAGGAAACGUAAUUGAGGCCAAUAAAAUUCUAAAUGAUAUGAUAAGGGCAGGACAUGUUCCAAAUACUUACAUUUUCAAUAUACACUGCACAGUAUGUGGACAGAAGAUAAAGCUUCUGAAGCUGAGAAGUUACUGCAAAAGAUUAAUGAAAAAGGGCAUGGAUUGGAUCCUGUGAGCUGUAAUAUUGUGAUUGAUGAUCUGUGUAGAAGUGGGAAGGUUGACAAAGCAGUUGAAAUUGUGAGUGAGAUGUGGACUCAUGGAAGUGCUGCUCUAGGCAACUUGGGAAUUUUAUUUAUAGGUCUAGUGGACAACAACGGAGAAAAAUGCUUACCUGACUUGAUCACUUAUUCAACAAGGAAGGAAGAUAUAUUUAUAUAUAUCUCGUGUAAGUGGGGGAAGAUAUCAUCUGCAUUUAGGUUCUCAAAGAUAUGGAGAGGAAAGGUUGCAAAAAGAGUUUACAAACUUAUAAUUCAUUGAUCCUUGGUCUAGGAAGUAAGAAGCAAAUAUUUGAAAUGUUUAGCAUGCUGAAUGAGAUGAAAGAAACAGGUGUUUCUCCUGAUACUUCACUUACAAUGAUGUUUUUCACUGUCUGUGUGAAGGAGGAAGAAGUGAAAAAGCUACUUCUCUUUUAGAUGAGAUGUUGCAAAAAGGGAUGACACCCAACAUAUAUUCCUUUAAGUUGUUAAUAAAAACUUUCUGCAGGACAGGUCAGUUCAGACAGGCACAGGAGGCAUUUAACAUUGACCUUAGUAAAUAUGGCCACGAAGAAGUACUUUAUAGUCUAAUUUCAAUGAAUUUCUUGCAGGGGAGGAGAUCUUGGAAGCUAAUCGGUUAUUUGAAUCUUCAUUAGACAAAUGUUUUGAUUUGGGAAGCUUUCGUUACAGAGAUAUCACAAAUAGACUACGUCAAGGCGAAAAUGGAGAAUACUGAAAUCCUCAAAAAAAUGAUAGAGAAUGGAUUGAAGUUUGACCCUGUAACAUUUAUGCCUGUGAUUGAUUGUUUACCUGAAAGCAGAAAUAAGCAUGAGGUUGAUGAACUAAAAGAGAGGAUGCUGUCAAUGGCUUUAGAAAGUGAGAUGGAAGAUAAGAUUAAGCAGCAAUGCAGGGAGUCAAAGAAUGGGGAAAAAUAACAAUGGUGGAAGUGAGUGGCAAACCAUUAUGCAAAGGUAUGUUACUGAAAUGGAUCGUGACUUGUUUUCUGAUCUGAUAUUAAAAUAAAAUUUAGCCAUUUUAAUUAAUUUCUAAGUGUUAUGCCCUAAGUCCAAUCAACUUUGGACAUAAAUACUUUUAAUAUAUGGUUGAUGCAAUUUCAUGGUAGAUUUAUUAUUUAAUUAAUGUUUAAUUAAAUUAAAUAAUAAAGUUCAUAGAUUUAAAUUUUGGUAAUUUGUUAAUUACGAGGAGUUGUGAUUUUAAGAUGCAAAUUACAUAUGAUUGAAUCUUAAAUAGUCUAUGGUCGUAAAUACUAACGAGAUACGAAUAUCGUUAUUAGAGAUAAACCAUCACGUGUGACAUUUCUUACUUGUGAAGUAAGUAGCUAAUCUCACAAGCUAAACUGUGAUGACACUUACAUGAACGUGGAUGUUUUGUUAUAGAGCAAAACAUUGAAGACCCGCUGAGAGAUUUCACAUGGAUAACUAUCUGAGUGUCAGUGGUUAAUCUUAACGUUCGGUAGUGAAAUUGGUCCAUUGACUUGAGGUCAUCAUAGUGCUUUAUAUGAAGACGGUCAUACUUUGACGGUGUUGGAUGUUGCUCUGCCAAAAGCCACUAAUACGGUAUCGUUCGGAUAUGUUAAGAAUCAUAUGAAGGUUGUGAGUGACUAAUAGAAAAUUCGUUACUCUUAGAUAGUAAGAGAUUAUGAUCCACAUUUCAUUUAAUUAAGUCGAUAACGAAAUCCCUGGCCAAAGUGUACUCAUAAGUCGAAAAAUUUUUUUCAACUUGUAUUGAUUUAAUAGUAGAAUGAAAGAUAUGAUCAAUAAUCGGGAUUGACACACUUCCAUAUUUCAUAAUUGAUUUGAUCAUAUUGACGUAGGGAUUAUAAUUUCACGGUAAACAAACGAGUUUGAUUUUAUCAUACCACGUAACAUUUUUCGUCACAUGUAUUGUCCUAACAUAUUGCUAGAUAUCAAUUUGGGAUGGUAAAUAUGAAUUAGUGAUAAAUUAAAAAGGUGUUUUAAUUUAUCAAUUUUGAUUAGAUCAAAAUAUUAUUUCACGUCGUUAGACAUCGUAAUUGAAAACCUGAUGGGUUGUACACAAAAGGUGAACUAAAAGAUUGUGAUUUGUUAAUUAAUUAAUUUAACAACCAUUGAGUAAAUUAAUUAAUUGGGUUGCUUAUUUUUAGACCCGAGUUAAUUAAUUGGAUUAAUUAAUUUAAUUCAUGUACCGAAUUUAAUUAAAUGGGUUAAUUAAAUAUUGGAUUGGGUUAGGCCAAGCCUGUUUGAUCUUAUAUAAAUAAGGGUUUACUAUAUGAUAGAUAAUUCUAAUUUUCGUGCCAGUACAAGAGCAGAAAACCCUAGUUCUCCUACAAUCUUGUUCCCCGUGUGGAAUUCCAUUGAAAGUUGGACAAUUGGAUAGCUGGACAAAUGUGGGCGACAAAUCAAGAUUACUGGAACAAAAGAAAAGCAAAGGACUUUGUAGAUUUCGCAAGAGGUACAAUUUCUAUCACAGUUUUUAUCUAAUUACAAAGUAGAUCUUCAGUGGGAAUUGAAAUUUAUUUUAUUUUCCGCUGUGCAUAAUUAAAUAAAUUCCCAACAUUACAUGUCAUUAGAUGACAUUUCAUUGUUUCUCAGUGAAGGCUAUAAUUUUUGUCUUCUCUUGUAAAUCCUUUUAGUACACCUCCAGAAGGAAUUAACUAUGUCAGCAUGUUCUUGAAAAUUUAAUAAUUGCUGGCUUAUUAUACUAUAUAAGAAUUAUAUUAGGCUCGUAAAUUGAGAUUGUUCUAUAAUCCUUCUUUAAUUGUUACAUGAUCCAUUUU